AAGGUCAAGGACGAGAGACGAUGACGGACACUAUACUAACGGUGGAGUGUGAGGUGAACGUGUCGUGUACCACCCUCAAGGAGCAGCCCGGAGCUACGAUAGUGUCGCCCAUCUUACUGUCGCUUAGUGGCGUCGCGGGACAGAUCUGGGCACUGUAUUACCUGUACACCAGCACCCGGCCGCAACACUCCCGUACUGUGUUCUUUGUGUUGCUAAGUACACUCAUCUGGACCGAUCUGGCGGGUAAGUCAUCACCACCACACCUGCUCUAGUGGCAUACCUCCAUCACUCCUGGGUCGGCGGGGUACCCAUGUGUAAUUUCCACGGGUUUUCUAUGAUGCUGGUCAGCUUAGUCACCCACCUUCUCGUCUCUACCAUGGCCGUCGAGAGGUUUAUUGGCAUCAGGCAUGGCUACUUCUACAACAAGAACAUCACCCCGACGAGAACUAAAACACUCCUGCUGGGGAUGUGGCUGUUCUCCGUACUGUACUCUGCUGUUAUAUGCUGUGUUCCCUCCUCCCUCCUCCUUCAGAACACUCCUGCUGGGGAUGUGGCUGUUCUCAGUGCUGUACUAUGCUGUUAUAUGCUGUGUUCCCUCCCUCCCUCCUCCUUCAGAACACUCCUGCUGGGGAUGUGGCUGUUCUCAUUGUUGUACUCUGCUGUUAUAUGC